rnacentral:rRNA from 1 species
UACGAAGGGGGCUAGCGUUGCUCGGAAUCACUGGGCGUAAAGGGCGCGUAGGCGGCCAUUCAAGUCGGAGGUGAAAGCCCAGGGCUCAACCCUGGAAUUGCCUUCGAUACUGUUUGGCUAGAGACCGGAAGAGGUAAGUGGAACUGCGAGUGUAGAGGUGAAAUUCGUAGAUAUUCGGAAGAACACCAGUGGCGAAGGCGACUUACUGGACACAUAUUGACGCUGAGGUGCGAAAGCGUGGGGAGCAAACAGG